CGUGAGUGAUGAAGGCCUUCGGGUCGUAAAACUCUUUUGAGAGAGACGAGCAAGGACGGUAUCUCUCGAAUAAGGUUCGGCUAACUACGUGCCAGCAGCCGCGGUAAAACGUAGGAACCGAGCGUUAUCCGGAUUCACUGGGUGUAAAGCGCGUGCAGGUGGCCUCGUAAGUUGGACGUGAAAUCUCCCGGCUUAACUGGGAGAGGCCGUUCAAUACUGCGGGGCUUGAGGGCAGGAGAGGGAGGUGGAAUUCCCGGUGUAGUGGUGAAAUGCGUAGAUAUCGGGAGGAACACCAGUGGCGAAGGCGGCCUCCUGGCCUGCUCCUGACACUGAGACGCGAAAGCUAGGGGAGCGAACGGGAUUAGAAACCCCGGUAGUCCUAGCUGUAAACGAUGGAUGCUAGGUGUCGGUGGUAUUGACCCCAUCGGUGCCGAAGCCAACGCGUUAAGCAUCCCACCUGGGGACUACGGCCGCAAGGUUA
rnacentral:rRNA from 1 species